UACAGAGGGUGCGAGCGUUAAUCGGAAUUACUGGGCGUAAAGCGUGCGUAGACGGCUAUCUAAGUCGGGUGUGAAAGCCCCGGGCUCAACCUGGGAAUUGCAUUCGAGACUGAAUGGCUAGGGUGCGGUAGAGGGAAGCGGAAUUUCCGGUGUAGCGGUGAAAUGCGUAGAUAUCGGAAGGAACAUCAGUGGCGAAAGCGGCUUCCUGGACCAGCACCGACGUUCAGGCACGAAAGCGUGGGGAGCAAACAGG
rnacentral:rRNA from 1 species